UACGAAGGGGCUAGCGUUGCUCGGAAUCACUGGGCGUAAAGCGCACGUAGGCGGACUCUUAAGUCGGUGGUGAAAUCCUGGAGCUCAACUCCAGAACUGCCUUCGAUACUGGAGUCUCGAGUUCGGGAGAGGUGAGUGGAACUGCGAGUGUAGAGGUGAAUUCGUAGAUAUUCGCAAGAACACCAGUGGCGAAGGCGGCUCACUG
rnacentral:rRNA from 1 species